AACGGAGGGGGCAAGCGUUAUUCAUCCUUAUUGGGCGUAAAGGGUACGUAGGUGAUGGAAAGUAUUAUUUCAUAAAUCCCAGGAGGAGUUCUUGGGUGCGAAAUAAUAUAGAUUAAUUCGAGAUUUUGAUGAGGUUGGCGGAAUUACUAAAGUAAAGGUAAAAUAUAACGAUCUUAGUACGAACACCAAAGGCGAAAGCAGCUUUCCAAGAAAUCUGACACUGAGGUACGAAAGCAUGGGGAUCAAACAGG
rnacentral:rRNA from 1 species